AUUGAACGCUGGCGGCAUGCUUUACACAUGCAAGUCGAACGGUAACAGGCCGCAAGGUGCUGACGAGUGGCGAACGGGUGAGUAAUGCAUCGGAACGUGCCCAGUCGUGGGGGAUAACGCAGCGAAAGCUGCGCUAAUACCGCAUACGAUCUAUGGAUGAAAGCGGGGGACCGAAAGGCCUCGCGCGAUUGGAGAGGCAGAUGUCAGAUUAGGUAGUUGGUGAGGUAAAGGCUCACCAAGCCAACGAUCUGUAGCUGGUCUGAGAGGACGACAAGCGAGACUGGGACGGUGACACGGCCCAGGCUCCUGCGGGAGGAAGCAGGGGGGAAGUUUGGAGAAUGGGCGCAAGCCUGAUCCAGCAAUGCCGCGUGCAGGAAGAAGGCCUUCGGGUUGUAAACUGCUUUUGUACGUAACGAAACGGCUCUCACUAAUACUGGGGGCUAAUGACGGUACCGUAAGAAUAAGCACCGGCUAACUACGUGCCAGCCGCCGCGGUAAAAC
rnacentral:rRNA from 1 species